rnacentral:rRNA from 1 species
UACGAGUGCCCCAAGCGUUAUCCGGAAUCAUUGGGCGUAAAGGGUGUGUAGGUCGUUUUCAUUAGUCUUCUGUGAAAUUCUUCGGCUCAACCGGGGGGUCCGCAGAAGAAACGGUGAAACUAGAGGAUGUGAGAGGUGAAUGGAACUCAUGGUGUAGGGGUGAAAUCCGUUGAUAUCAUGGGGAACACCAAAAGCGAAGGCAAUUCACUGGCACAUUCCUGACACUGAAACACGAAAGCGUGGGUAGCGAAUGGG